AAAGAAUUAGUUAAACAAAUAACAUAAAUAUGUCAAAUUUAAAUUAUUAUAAAUUAAUAUUCUUUU
rnacentral:tRNA from 1 species